UACGUAGGUGGCAAGCGUUGUCCGGAUUUAUUGGGUUUAAAGGGUGCGUAGGCGGUUUAAUAAGUCAGUGGUGAAAUACGGCAGCUCAACUGUCGAGGUGCCAUUGAUACUGUAGAACUUGAGUACAGACGAGGUAGGCGGAAUUGACGGUGUAGCGGUGAAAUGCUUAGAUAUCGUCAAGAACACCGAUAGCGAAGGCAGCUUACUAGGCUGUAACUGACGCUGAGGCACGAAAAGUGUGGGGGAUCAAACAGG
rnacentral:rRNA from 1 species